GCUAGGGGUCUGGAUUGGAGUAGUACAGACCGGACCCUACCGUGCAUGAUUGGUGCUGAAGAAAAAAACAGGAUUCCCCUUGCCUCAAAGAGUCUACAUGACUAAUAUUUAGUCAUGUUCAGCCUGGUGGAUAUUCGGUUAGGGCUGUUGCUCGCCGCAACGAUAAUUUUGGUGAGAGCGCAAGGAGGGUAUGAGUAUGAGGACGAGAAAACCGAGAAACAAGAUACUACCACAUAUCCAGACUGGCUGAUCUAUGUGUGUGUCGGCGCUGCUUGUGCGGGCAUUCUCAUCAUCAUCAUCUACUGCUGUUGCAAGCUCAGAGGU